CGAGGUCAGGAGAUCGAGACCAUCCUGGUUAACACGGUGAAACCCCGUCUGUACUAAAAAUACAAAAAAUUAGGCAGGUGUGGUGGCGGGCGUCUGUAGUCCCAGCUACUUGGGAGGCUGACCCCGUCUGUACUAAAAAUACAAAAAAUUAGGCAGGUGUGGUGGCGGGCGCCUGUAGUCCCAGCUACUUGGGAGGCUGAGGCAGGAGAAAGGCGUGAGGCAGGAGAAAGGCGUAAACCCGGGAGGCGGAACUUGCAGUGAGCCGAGAUCACGCCACUGCACUCCAGCCUGAGCGACAGAGCGAGACUCCGUCUCAAACAAACAAAAACAAACAAAACAAGAUGACACCUUAGCCUCCCAUCUUCUGACACUCCUUAUUAACUUAUGUAUGAGAAGGCUAUACUGUUAAUUUGAGACAGCUAUUGAGAGUCUUGUCAUAAUAGGCUUCUUUCUGCAUUCCUUCACUAGUGGCCCUGAAGCUGCACUAUGUUGGAGGUUUCCUUGACUAAGAGAACCACAUGCGGCAUUCAGCUCAGUAGGGGAGUCAUAAAAGAUCCCGCCUCUGACCAGAAGAGUAUGAAUGACAAAGAUCUGACGGAUCUCCUGGGAUUUCCUGGGGAAAUGAAAUGAGUCUAACACCUUUGACCACCUGCUGGAUAUUAUAUCAGCACUUACUUAAGUAAGCUGUGGAAGAGCUGAAAGCAGUAUUCAGAGUCUGACAGUUCUCUGCAAUUGGCCUAGAUAAACUCAUUGUGAAAUAAGUAACUAAAUGGGCAAAAGAUUUGAACAAGCACUUCACAAAAGAAGACCAAGAAGAGGGCAGGGUUUUUUGUUUGGGGAGUUUUAUUUAGUUUUGUUUUGGGGUUGUUUUGUUUUGGCAGGGGACAGGAGG
rnacentral:lncRNA from 1 species